rnacentral:rRNA from 1 species
UCAGACGAUGCGUCAUGCAUAUCAAUAAGCGGAGGAAAAGAAACUAACAAGGAUUCCCCUAGUAACGGCGAGUGAAGCGGGAAGAGCUCAAAUUUGAAAUCUUAAAGGGUUUCCCUUUACGAAUUGUAGUUUAAAGAAGUGUUUUCUGUUGAGGUUUUGGUAAAAGUUCUUUGGAAUAGGACAUCAUAGAGGGUGAGAAUCCCGUAUUUGACCUUUACUUUCAACUUUGUGAUACACUUUCAAAGAGUCGGAUUGUUUGGGAAUGCAGUCCAAAAUGGGUGGUAAAUUUCAUCUAAAGCUAAAUAUUGGCGAGAGACCGAUAGCGAACAAGUACCGUGAGGGAAAGAUGAAAAGAACUUUGAAAAGAGAGUUAAACAGUACGUGAAAUUGUCAAAAGGGAAGCGUUUGACACCAGUGUUGUUUUUCUGAAAAUCAAUUAAAGAACUGUUCAUGCUAAGCUGUUUAGACUUUAUCAGCUAUCUGCUUAGUUUUGAGCUUUCCUUUAAUGCACUUUUCAGUUAACAAGUCAACAUCAAUUUCUUUUGCUGUAAAAAAGCUUGAGGAAGGUGGCUUGAGAUUCGUCUUAAGUGUUUAUAGCCUCUUGCCUAUGCAGUCGGAGAGAUUGAGGUCUGCAGCGUAGAUCCUUCGGGGCUAAAUGCAUUUGUGCUAAGUUAUAGCAUUUUAUAGACAACUUGUUGACUAUGAUUUGUCUUGUAGCUUACUCGCUUAUGUUAUUUUACCUACGCUUAGGAUGUUGACACACGCGCGUGCUCG